GUGUAUUCUCGCAUAGAUUCACAUGAAAAACCCAGUCCAAACUAUCUGCUGCAACAAUGGCUGUAGGGGAGCCCAGAGCACCAAAGUAAUAAAUUCACAUCUCCAUGUUUGGGCUUUUCCUCAGAAGGCUGCUGGUAAAUAUCCUUACUUUCCUGGCCAAGAACCCACUUUGCCUAGGGAUAUCGAUUUGUUGCUUCAGGUUUGUAGAGAAAACAACAACCAUGGGUCUAGAAGAAUGCUAUUCACAUCAAUAUGUGAUGAUGUGAAGGAAAAAGAGCCGGACCCUUCAAUUUAUCUUAUAGUUGCCAAGGUAAACAAUCUACAUUUUUUUUCUUUCAGGCUUUCUACUUUGCCUCCUUCGAUGGAGAUGGAAUCAUAAAAGAGAAUGAUAAGUCAAUUUAGAAAUCAGAACGUCGACCCAAUGUACUCAAAUAUAGAAAUUUGGAAUCUCUGGUCUGUCCAAUUUGGAGUUGCUCAUCAAAGAGAGCCUGCAAAAAGCCAGUGGCAGCGAUCUCCGAGUUCAUUUUAAGGUACCCUGGAUCUCCAUGAUAAUGAAUGGAAAUUCAGACAUAUAUUUCGAGGAGGCUUGCAACAACACUAGAGUAAUUGGUAUGUGAAGUAGAUCAAGGAAGAUCCUGCAAAGUUUAUCUUGAAGUAGAGGAAAAUAACUAACUUGUAAAGCUUAAUCUUGUAAAUUUUGGUAGAAGCUCCAUUCCUUUUG